rnacentral:lncRNA from 1 species
UUUCAAGAGACUUCUCACAAACCCUAACCAAACUAUCCAUCUUCCCUGAUAGUCAGAGGCGAAGUUCAAGAUUUUCCAACAUGCUGCUGCUCAACAAUUAACAGUUUCCAAACUCCUCAUCCAUAAUUCUCGCAUGAUGGUUCUGGAAACUCAACUAGACGGUGUGAUUUUAUACCGCAAACCCUAAUUCUAAGAGCUGAUUCUGGAAUAGUACUCGGUUUUCAAGAUUUUGUUUUUGGUUUCAUUCAUCCAGAGGAUUCGCCACUGAAUCCGAUGUGGACGACGUCGUUGUGAUCGGACGAUACGUGGCAGUAAUUAACGCCGCUCAAAACCACCUGUAUUAAGAAACGGGGGUGUCGUUGGUGGUACUUGCCACCAUGCCGGCUGUAUCCCUUCUAAGGAUAGGAGCAUCUUCAUUCUUCUCAUGAAACCCAAGACCAAGUUUGCAAAUCAUGGCAUAAAGUGUGACUGUGUGAGAGUGCAAAGAUGAAUCUCGCUGCCAUGAUGGCCCAUAAGGACAAAGUCGUCUUUAAGAUAACAAAAGGCGUCGAAUCCCUUUUCAAGAAGAAUAAGAUGGUUUCUCCAACCGAAACAUUGCCAAGACUUUAAUGGAAGUAGAGAUGGGCGAAUGAUACCUGAUAUCGGUUCUGGUACCAAAUUUCCCGAGUCAACUCAAUUUACGGUAUUAAUUUGGUAUCGACAUUUUACAUUUUCGGUACCGGUCCAGUACCGCUUUGGUACCGGCAAAUACCAAUUUUUAUCUUCAAAUACUGGUACCGAACCGUACCGUACCAGGUAUUUUCGAUCCCGGUAACUGGUACUGAGCUCAUCCCUAAAUGGAAGUUGUUGGUUGGUAUCUCCACCUCAAAUGGUAGAAAAUGUAAAAGAAGAUGAAUAAUGAGGUUGUGGUUCCGGAUUUAGCAGGGAAUCAAUAUUUGAGAACGAACAUCAAUGGAUCGGUCUAGAUAUACAAAUAAGACUACCCAUGUGGUGUACAAUGAAAAUUUUAAUGAAUUUUGAAUUAUUUGUUGUAUUUUUUUACCUAU